rnacentral:lncRNA from 1 species
GUGCCAUGCAUAUCUUUGUGCUGUGACAUUCUAUUUCAUUUUAUUUUUUUUUACUAUCAGUGCGUAUUCAUCAAGUCAAAAUAAGAAAGGAAGAGAAAAGUGGACUUCUAAUGGGGCACUUUCAAGCUGAAGAAAUGUAUCCAGAGAAAAUGAAUUCAAAACUAUUACCCUUUUGAUGAGAACAGUUGCUCAAAGAGUGAAGGAUAUUGGAAAUAACAUCAAUAGUUGACAAAAAAUAAGGUCGCCUUAAUUAAACCCAUAUUGUUUCAAGAGUGUUUCGGGAAUAUUUCUCGGCUGCCACGUUCUGUUCUUCAUUGACGUGAUGAUUCUGCCAUAGAGACCAGAGAUGAGCGAGGUCAUCAAAACAGGAUGUCCUCCCCGUGGUGUCUCUGUUCCAGGUGUUCAUUGUUCUGAUGUGCUGGUAGAAGCUGGGUCCACACUGUGCAACAACGGCAACUACAAAUGGAAAAUCCACUCUUCGUCGCCCUGCAGACUGCACUCAUCAUAGGCUACAAAGAGCCACCUUGUGCCCCCACUGUCUCCACAAGUCUUAAU